AUUGAACGCUGGCGGCAGGCCUAACACAUGCAAGUCGAGCGGAUGAAGGGAGCUUGCUCCUGGAUUCAGCGGCGGACGGGUGAGUAAUGCCUAGGAAUCUGCCUGGUAGUGGGGGAUAACGUCCGGAAACGGGCGCUAAUACCGCAUACGUCCUGAGGGAGAAAGUGGGGGAUCUUCGGACCUCACGCUAUCAGAUGAGCCUAGGUCGGAUUAGCUAGUUGGUGGGGUAAAGGCCUACCAAGGCGACGAUCCGUAACUGGUCUGAGAGGAUGAUCCGUCACACUGGAACUGAGACACGGUCUAGACUCCUACGGGAGGCAGCAGUGGGGAAUAUUGGGCAAUGGGCGAAAGCCUGAUCCAGCCAUGCCGCGUGUGUGAAGAAGGUCUUCGGAUUGUAAAGCACUUUAAGUUGGGAGGAAGGGCAGUAAGUUAAUACCUUGCUGUUUUGACGUUACCAACAGAAUAAGCACCGGCUAACUUCGUG
rnacentral:rRNA from 1 species